GAUCUUGGUGGUAGUAGCAAAUAUCGAGUGAGAACCUCGAAGACUGAAGCACGAGAAGGGUUCCAUGUGAACAGCAGUUGAACAUGGGUGAGUCGUCCUGAUUCACUUCCUAAUGGAAUACUUAAGACUUCUAUUAUUUGAGACGAGAAGUAUUGGAGAAUGGGAAAAGGGUUAAUAUUCCCUUACCCGGACACGGAGAUAGGGGCACCCGUGUCCCAAGUGCGGUAACGCAAACGAACUCGGCGACGCCGUCGGAGGACCCGGAGAAGAGUUGACUUUUCUUCGUAAGAGCUCGUGUCCCUGGAAUCUCGUCACGAGGAGAUAGGGACGCUGUUCUCGUAAGAGCACGGUCGCUGCUGCCGUGUCCGGUGCGCCUCCGCCGGCCCUUGAAAAACCGAGGGAGAGAGUGUGAUUUUCGUGCCGGUCCGUACCCAUAUCCGCAGCAGGUCUCCAAGGUGAACAGCCUCUAGUCUCUAGAACAAUGUAGGUAAGGGAAGUCGGCAAGUUCGAUCCCUAACUUCGGGAAAAGGAUUGGCUCUUGUGUUUCCGUCCUCGCGGACCUCUUUUGCCGUAUUUCUUGCGCUUCUGCCGUGGGGACUGACCGCCCUCUCCGAGGCGUGGUCGGACCCCUACGCGGACGGAGGGAAGAGGAAAGAGGGUGGCCUCGCUCCUUCGAGAGUUCGGGGCUUGUGCCGCGGGACAUCGUGGAAACGAACAAGAACUGGCACGGACUAGGGGAAUCCGACUGUCUAAUUAAAACAAAGCAUUGCGACGGCCGGAGAACGGUGUUGACGCAAUGUGAUUUCUGCCCAGUGCUCUGAAUGUCAAAGUGAAGAAAUUCAAUGAAGCGCGGGUAAACGGCGGAAGUAACUAUGACUUUCUUAAGGUAGCCAAACGCCUCGUCAUCUAAUUAGUGACGCGCAUGAAUGGAUUAACGAGAUUCCCACUGUCCCUAUCUACUAUCUAGCGAAACCACAGCCAAGGGAACGGGCUUGGCAAAUUCAUCGGGGAAAGAAGACCCUUUCGAGCUUGACUGUAGUCUGACUCUGUGGCGAGGCAUUAUUGGCGUAGUCUAGGUGGGAGUCUUUUCGUGAGGCGAGUCUGUGAAAUACCACUACUUUGAUCGCCUUGUUACUGAUUCGGUGAUGCUCUGUGGUCCAUCUUACGGGAUGCGACGUGUUAUGUGAACUGUAACCCCCAUUUAUUUGAAAGUGGCGGGGAAGAGCUCCGAAGACAGUGUCAGGCAGGCAGUUUGUCUGGGGCGGAACAUCUGUCAAAAGGCAACGCAGGUGUCCCAAGGCCGGCUCGGCCGGGACGGAAACCUGGCUUAGAGCAAAGGGGCAAAAGCCGGCUCGAUCUCGUUCUUCAGUAAGGAAGGGGACCUCGAAAGAGGGGCCCAUCGAUCCUUUCGAUGCGUGGGAGUCUCACGCGAGAGGUGUCAGAAAAGUUACCGGAGGGAUAACUGGCUUGUGGCGGCCAAGCGUUCAUAGCGACGUCGCUUAUUGAUUCUUCGAUGUCGGCUCUUCCUAUCAUUGCGAAGCAGAAUUCGCAAAGCGUUGGAUUGUUCACCCACUAACAGGUAACGUGAGCUGGGUUUAGACCGUCGUGAGACAGGUUAGUUUUACCCUCAUGAAGACGGGUCGUCGCGACGGUAAAAUCUGCCCAGUACGAGAGGAACCGUAGGUUCGGACAUUUGGUACUGCGCUCGGUGGUGCCGCCGGUGGCGCGAAGCUACCAUCCGCUCGGAUAACGGCUGAACGCCUCUAAGUCGGAAGCCGUCCCGAGAACGGUGAGGAUAUCAUUGUGUGCCCCUCGCGUCGAACGGCAGCUCUAGCCCCUCGAUGUUCCCCCUCGGCCCGCCGUCGGGGAGCGCGAGCGGGCGAAAGUGGCCCCUUCGCACGCCCGAGACCUCCGGGACCCUCCGUAGACUCCGAGGGUCCUGCUCCUGCGAGCCUGCCUCCGGGCAGACGAGUGAUGUGAGUGGGCGUAGAGUCGUCUGCAGACGACGUUCUUGCUGGACGGGGUGUCGUAAGUAGCAGAGCACCCACCAUAGUGCGAUCUACUGAGACUCAUCCCU
rnacentral:rRNA from 1 species